rnacentral:rRNA from 1 species
GAUGAACGCUGGCGGCGUGCCUAAUACAUGCAAGUCGAGCGAAUGGAUUAAGAGCUUGCUCUUAUGAAGUUAGCGGCGGACGGGUGAGUAACACGUGGGUAACCUGCCCAUAAGACUGGGAUAAUUCCGGGAAACCGGGGCUAAUACCGGAUAAUAUUUUGAACUGCAUGGUUCAAAAUUGAAAGGCGGCUUCGGCUGUCACUUAUGGAUGGACCCGCGUCGCAUUAGCUAGUUGGUGAGGUAACGGCUCACCAAGGCAACGAUGCGUAGCCGCCCUGAGAGGGUGAUCGGCCACACUGGGACUGAGACACGGCACAGACUCCUACGGGAGGCAGCAGGAGGGAAUCUUCCGCAAUGGACGAAAGUCGGACGGAGCAACGCCGCGUGAGUGAUGAAGGCUUUCGGGUCGUAAAACUCUGUUGUUAGGGAAGAACAAGUGCUAGUUGAAUAAGCUGGCACCUUGACGGUACCUAACCAGAAAGCCACGGCUAACUACGUGCCAGCCGCCGCUGUAA